CCCGCUCAGAAACUUAAAGGAAUUGACGGGGGCCCGCACAAGCGGUGGAGCAUGUGGUUUAAUUCGAUGAUACGCGAGGAACCUUACCUGGGCUCAAAUGUAUGUUGACGUAUUCUGAAAGGGAUACUUCUUCGGACAAUAUACAAGGUGCUGCAUGGUUGUCGUCAGCUCGUGCCGUGAGGUGUCGGCUUAAGUGCCAUAACGAGCGCAACCCUCAUCAUUAGUUACCAUCAGGUAAGGCUGGGGACUCUAAUGAGACUGCCAUCGUAAGAUGUGAGGAAGGUGGGGAUGACGUCAAAUCAGCACGGCCCUUACGUCCGGGGCGACACACGUGUUACAAUGGGUGGUACAAAGGGCAGCUACCUGGCGACAGGAUGCUAAUCUCGAAAACCGCUCUCAGUUCGGAUCGGAGUCUGCAACUCGACUCCGUGAAGCUGGAUUCGCUAGUAAUCGCGCAUCAGCCACGGCGCGGUGAAUACGUUCCCGGGCCUU
rnacentral:rRNA from 1 species